GAUGAACGCUGGCGGCGUGCCUCAAACAUGCAAGUCGAGCGGGGCUAUGUAAUAUCGCAAGGUAGAACAUAGCCUAGCGGCGAACGGGUGAGUAACACGUGGGUAACCUGCCUGGAAGACAGGGAUAACGAUUCGAAAGGGUCGCUAAUACCUGAUAAUAUCCUUUCAUCGCAUGGUGAUAGGAAGAAAGGGGAAACCCGCUUUCAGAUGGGCCCGCGUCCCAUCAGCUAGUUGGUAAGGUAAAGGCUUACCAAGGCGACGACGGGUAGCCGGUCUGAGAGGAUGUACGGCCACACUGGGACUGAGAUACGGCCCAGACUCCUACGGGAGGCAGCAGUUGGGAAUCUUAGGCAAUGGACGAAAGUCUGACCUAGCGACGCCGCGUGAGGGAAGAAGGCCUUCGGGUUGUAAACCUCUGUCAUGGGGGAAGAAGUAAGUGACGGUACCCCAAGAGGAAGCCCCUGCUAACUACGUGCCAGCAGCCGACGGUAAAGUACUCUAU
rnacentral:rRNA from 1 species